GGCGAACGCUGGCGGCGUGCCUAAUACAUGCAAGUCGAACGCUUCUUUCCUCCCGAGUGCUUGCACUCAAUUGGAAAGAGGAGUGGCGGACGGGUGAGUAACACGUGGGUAACCUACCCAUCAGAGGGGGAUAACACUUGGAAACAGGUGCUAAUACCGCAUAACAGUUUAUGCCGCAUGGCAUAAGAGUGAAAGGCGCUUUCGGGUGUCGCUGAUGGAUGGACCCGCGGUGCAUUAGCUAGUUGGUGAGGUAACGGCUCACCAAGGCCACGAUGCAUAGCCGACCUGAGAGGGUGAUCGGCCACACUGGGACUGAGACACGGCCCAGACUCCUACGGGAGGCAGCAGUAGGGAGUCUUCGGCAAUGGACGAAAGUCUGACCGAGCAACGCCGCGUGAGUGAAGAAGGUUUUCGGAUCGUAAAACUCUGUUGUUAGAGAAGAACAAGGACGUUAGUAACUGAACGUCCCCUGACGGUAUCUAACCAGAAAGCCACGGCUAACUACGUG
rnacentral:rRNA from 1 species